rnacentral:rRNA from 1 species
GAUCCUGGCUCAGAUUGAACGCUGGCGGCAUGCUUUACACAUGCAAGUCGAACGGCAGCGGGGGCUUCGGCCUGCCGGCGAGUGGCGAACGGGUGAGUAAUGCAUCGGAACGUGCCCAUGUCGUGGGGGAUAACGUAGCGAAAGCUACGCUAAUACCGCAUACGCCCUGAGGGGGAAAGCGGGGGAUUCUUCGGAACCUCGCGCGAUUGGAGCGGCCGAUGUCGGAUUAGCUAGUAGGUGAGGUAAAGGCUCACCUAGGCGACGAUCCGUAGCGGGUCUGAGAGGAUGAUCCGCCACACUGGGACUGAGACACGGCCCAGACUCCUACGGGAGGCAGCAGUGGGGAAUUUUGGACAAUGGGCGCAAGCCUGAUCCAGCCAUGCCGCGUGAGUGAAGAAGGCCUCGGUGUAAGAGUCUUCGUCCGGGUAACGGAAAGUACGUGGUCGUC